ACAGGGAGCCGAUCUGACCCUGCCCGCUUGUGAAUGGCUGCAGUUAAGAAGAAAUUAACACAUCUCCUCCUAUUUUGCAAGAUAAAUGGCCUUUUGUACUUUACUUCUUCACCUUCUCUCCCUCUCUGUUCUGUAAAAGAAACUGGCAUCCAGACCCCGAUAAGAUGGUUUUUUGGGAACAUCUUCUCGGUCUGCCGGCUUUCUGAAUGAAAUCGCUCUUCCUUGCCUCACCACUUCCUGUCCCGAUUUAUUGGCCUGCCGUGCGGCGAGCAGAGCGAGCUUGGACUCGCUCUGUCUCCGAGGUUCGAUUCAGCACUGGUGUACAGAGAAGCUGAGCUUUCGACAUCACAGGAAGAAAUAGCCUUUUCUAUGGUGAUGACCAGAAGUUUUCCUCAGCACACCUCUCAGCUUCUCCUUCCAGCUUCAACACUCUGGGAACCUGCCAUACUUGAUCUCUUUGGAGAGGUAUUCUGGGACAAAUCGUCUAGAUACAGAAAAUGUUAAGAGGUAACUGGCACAGAAUUAACAGCUUUCAUACUUGGCUACAAGACAGUCUUCUCUAGUUUCCCAUAUAUUUCUUGACCUGAUGCAUUUAAGGACGUUUGAAAUCACAUUAUUUUGAAGUGUCUUAAUUUUGCUUAUAUUGGGUUGUGGAAGUUUCAGAUUAGGUUUAUCCUCUCAAGGCAAUCUGAUCUUAUUGGCUCUGUAUCCUUCAGAAAUAACUGAAUAAUUGAUUUACUAGGGACUUCUCUUGGUUUUUUAGGACCUCCAAGUCUUUAACUGUUUAUUUACUAUAUUUUGUGACUUCUAUAAUCUCAGUGGGAUUUUUGAAGGAAGAAGAGAUUAAAACAUGCCCUUAGUCAGCCAUUUUGAAACCCCAAGUCUCUCUUUUUUUUUAGGUAAUAUUAUCACAGUGAGGGAACAGAAAAAACAGUUAAUACCAAUCAGAGUUUAAUACAGAGUACGGUUCUAUGAGUUAUACAUGGACAUAUAAACAGCAGUUGAAAUCUAAUCCCUAUUAGAAGGAAAUGCACAUUCUUAAAUGUGAUUAUUUUAACUUCAUUAUGAUUAAUUUUAAUAAAAUUACAUACAGUUUUCUGGAAUCCAGUUUAUCAUUAAUUAAAAUGAAAGGUAUGAUUAAUACAUCCACAUUAAAAGUGUUUUUAAAAAUUAAGCAAGAAAAAAAUACACUAAUAAAGUAAAUGUGUAUUUUAUUACUAAAUAAGGAAAGUUAAUUGGUUUGAAAUAAUUAGAAAUAGACAUAUCCUAGAUUUAAAUUGGGUGUAGAAUAGAAAUCCCACAAAGAAUGUAACUUUAAUUCAAAAGGUAAUACAGUGAAUUUUACAAAUCAUAACUUGAGUGUGGGUGGAAAAUCACUUCAGUUUCUUUUUUUUGUUUUUGUUCUUUUUUUGCGGUACACGGGCCUCUCACUGUUGUGGCCUCUCCCGUUGCGGAGCACAGGCUCUGGACGCGCAGACUCGGCGGCCAUGGCUCACGGGCCCAGCCACUCCGCGGCAUGUGGGAUCUUCCUGGACCGGGGCACGAACCUGUGUCCCCUGCAUCGGCAGGCGGGCUCUCAACCACUGCGCCACCAGGGAAGCCCUCGGUUUCUUUUUAAAGUGUGCAUUCCUGGUCCUCAUUUCCAAAUAUCCUAAUGAGAUUCACAAGAAACUAAAUUCCUAACAAGAAUCCCCAGGUAAUUCUAAUGAGAGACACUGUUCCAAGAGAGUAUGUACUCAUUUUACCACUCAAUAAAAGAGCUCAACAGAAAUAGUUAAUCAGAUUUGAUAAUGCUGCAGCAAUGCUAACUAUGAGAGUAAUAGUAAUAAUUACAAUUACAAGAGCAAACAAAUUAAUAGCUUUAUAGUUGUCAGUCUGCUAUGAACUUUCUUUUAAUGGUUUCUACCAAUCCUUAUAAAAAUCUGAGUUCCUACAAAUUAAGUUUAUACUUCUGAUAAAGAAUUUAGUCUAAGAAAAGAGAAGCUAUUUGUCUAUGUCCUGUAAGUAGCAAGCAUCAGCACUCUCUCACAGCAGAGACUUCUCCCAUAAUCCUCCCUGCUAGGCACUUCUAUUUAAAAUCAUAAUUUUAAUAGUGCAAGUUGAAAACAACAUAUAUUUAUAUAAUUACUAUGUACCAUGUUAAUGUAUCACAUGACUAAUAGAAAGACACCUUUCUGAUGUUGAUUCUUCCCAUACAAGAGCAAGGUAUUUACUUCCAUUAGUCAUAUCUUUUUUGAAGACUCUCCAUAAUGCUUCACUAUUUUAUCUAUUGAAUUUCUAAAAUGUAUUGAAUGAGUUAUUUCUAAAUAUGUAAAUUUUUGUUCUAUUGUAACAGAGUUUUUUUUUUUCUUUCUAUGAUGUUUCUUAUCAAUUUUUAUUAGGAGAAGUAAUUUUGGUAGAUGAUUAGAUCACCAAUUUAACACAUUGCUUAUUUUAAUUUUUUGUUACAUUACUAAAAUUUUCUAGGUAAUGUAUCUGUAAAUUGUUAAAAUUUUAUACCACUUAUGCCUCUCAUAAUCAUAUGAUAAUUGAAAAAAUGCAUAUUAAUCAAGAACUGUGUCAAGCACUGCAUUGAGUGUUGGAGUGAAAAAAACAAAAAGCAAAACCUUGCCUCAUUAAACUUACAAUUUACUGGUAAUCUCAGGCAUUUGCCAAAUAAUCAUACAGAAAUAUAAUUCCAAAUUGGAUAGGUUCCAUUAAGAAAAUACAGAAAGUUUUUUUUUCAAUGAAUUUAUUAUUUUAUUUAUUUAGUUUUGGCUGCAUUGGGUAUUCGUUGCUGCACACAGGCUUUCGCUAGUUGCACGCAGGCUUUCUGUAGUUGUGGCGAGCAGGGACUACUCUUUGUUGCGGUGCGAGGUCUUCUCAUUGCAGCGGCUUCUCUUGUUGUGGAGCACUGGCUCUAGGAACGCGGGCUUCAGUAGUUGUGGCUUGCGGGCUCUAGAACGCAGGCUCAGUAGUUGUGGUCCACAGGUUUAUUUGCUCCGCAUGUAGGAUCUUCCCGAACCAGGGCUCAAACCCGUGUCCCCUGUAUUGGCAGGCAGACUCUUAACCACUGCGCCACCAGGGAAGCCCAAGAAAAUACAGAAAGCUUUUAAUGUAUGCCACGGGCAUGUGAUUAGCAGUUCAGAUUUUAGAGAAAUGCUGCAGUUAACUAGAAGUGUUACGGAAUAUUAUUUUACAUGGGUGGCACUAUUUGAAAGCUCCAGGCAUGAGGGAAAACAGGGCACAAUGGAGAGCCUAGGGCCUGGUGACUGAGGCAGAGACCACAAAGGGGAAUGAGAUACGAGAGUGUAUUAUCUACUGCUGUGUAAGAAAUUACCUAAUUUUAAUGGUUUCUAACAAUAAAAAUGUAUUUUCUAACAGUUUUUGGGAGUCAGGGAUCAGAGUGUGACUUAGUUAAGUGCCUUUGUCUAACAUCAAUACUGAAAUUAUAGUCUGUAGGCCACCUGGGGCUCUGGUCACACCUAUAGACUCAAAGUGAGGAGGGAUAAAUCCAGUUACAAGUCCAUUCAUGUGGUUGUUGGCAAGUCUCUGUCCCUCGACACAUGAGCCUCCUACAGGGCUGCUCGACAAGGUGGCCUAACAUGGUGAUCAAAUCCAAGAAAGCAUGAGAGAAAGCAGCCAAGAUGGAAGCCAGUCUUUUUACAGCCUAAUCUUGGAAAUGACAAGUCACCCCUUCUGCUAUUCUAUGUUACAAAGGGCUCCAUAAGUCCAGCCUCCACCACCCACAGCCCCUCCCUCCGCGACCUACACCACCACACACACACAUGCACACUCCAUCCUUCCAAUCUUCUCCAUCUCACUGUCUAUUGUUUCUGUUCCCAGGGUGACCAUAAGCUGUGGCUGAACCAUAAAAAUCUUCACGUACACACAAGCUGACAGUGCUUUGCAAAACGCCCAUACUGUGCCCCUCUUACUCCCUGUCUGACGACUUCUUUGUUUGAGCCGUUACAGGACCUCUUUUGGCACGUUCCUUUGCACAACCUGAAAGUAUGUGGGAGUUAAUCUCCCAAGGGAUAAACUUUGAACAGUAGGAUUCAGUAAUUUGUUGGUAAAUUCAGUCCUAUUUAUCCCUUGCAUAGAAGGACCCCAAAUGAAGCUAGUAUGGAUUUUUGAGAGUGAUCAUGGUAUUCUGUAAUUUGUCUUACUUAGUGGUAGGCAGUUCAAUAAUCUAUACUUGUGUCAUCUCUCCCUUCCUCCUUGCCACUUUGUCUUUCACUUCUCCCUAGAAAUGAACAUAACUCCUCUGCCUCAGGCUCAGCUUUCUGGAAAGACUAAGCUACCAGUUUGUACUUAGAAUGCUAAUCUUCAGGGUGGAAUUUCGGAACUGAAUUUUACCCUCAACUGAAAGCAAUAAGAACACCAUGUAACAGCACAAUCACUAAAGAUUUUAUGUGUCAUUUGGAUGAGGUAUAGGUGGAAGGUGAAGAGUUCAGAUUUAUAAUGGCUAAGACACUUGAGCAGUAUGACAGCAAAAAAUAAUUAUAAGAACUGUGAAGUGGGUUGGCUUUUUAUAAACUGCUAACCAUAAGAAUGCACUGUAAACCGUUGUUAUUUUUAACCCAAAUUUUAGUAUAAAAAUAUGUGACCUUCAAAACUUAGAAGUUUGCAUUCCUAUAUCCCUUACCUAGAGUUUCCAGGUUUCAUUAUUUGCUAUAUAUCUUUUAUCUCUCACCCUCGGUCUACCUAAACAUACACUCACAACAAUACACAUUUUGAUUACAUAUUUAUCAAUUAUUUAAAACUAAGUUUCUGAUACUUCACACAAAUAUUUUAGCUUGUAUUUCAUUUUUUUUAAAAGAUAUUUUAUCUAAUUGUAAUUAUCACAUCCAGAAAAUUUAAGCCUGAUAUACAAAAUGUUCUUUAAUAUUUAUGUCAUGUGUUCAAUAUAACAAUUUUCCCCAAAUAUGCCACUGAAUAUUUUUCUAGUUGUUUUUAUUUCUUAGUUCUGAUCCAAGAUCUAAUAAAAGAUCGCAUAUGGAAUUUUCUGGUCAUCUAGAACAACCCAUAUUCCUUUUAUUUUUAUAACGACGUUUUCACAGUUGUGACUGGGAAUUUUCUUCACUUACUUCCAAAUACCAGGAAUGAACUUGACUAAGGGCUCCAAAUCCACCACUCUGAAAUCCAGCUCUGUGAUAACACUGAGGUCACAGGCUAUCUAUGGGACUCCUCUUAGAGCCGAUGUUGCCAGUAACAAUGUCCGUUUAUUUUCCAUUCUUGAUAUUGAAAUUUUUCAUUCUUAUAGGAAGCUCUUCUCCCUUUUUUCUUGGUCACUGUAACUAGAAGUUUGUCAAUUUUAUUGAACUUUUCAAAGAAUAUGCUUUUAUUUGCAUUGAUUUUUUUUAUUUUUCUAUUUUCAAUUUCAUUAAUUUCUUCUCCAUUCUUUAUUACUUCUUUCUACUUACUUUGGGUUUAGUUUGCUCUAUUUUUCUUUAAAAAUUUCUUAAGAUGGGGCUUCCCUGGUGGCGCAGUGGUUGAGAGUCUGCCUGCCGAUGCAGGGGACACGGGUUCGUGCCCUGGUCCGGGAAGAUCUCACAUGCUGCGGAGCGGCUGGUCCCGCGACCCAUGGCCACUGAGCCUGCGCGUCCAGAGCCUGUGCUCCGCAACGGGAGAGGCCACAACAGUGAGAGGGCCGCGU